UACAGAGGUCUCAAGCGUUGUUCGGAUUCAUUGGGCGUAAAGGGUGCGUAGGCGGCGCGGUAAGUCGGGUGUGAAAUUUCGAGGCUUAACUUCGAAACUGCAUUCGAUACUGCCGUGCUUGAGGACUGGAGAGGAGACUGGAAUUUACGGUGUAGCGGUGAAAUGCGUAGAUAUCGUAAGGAAGACCAGUGGCGAAGGCGGGUCUCUGGGCCACUACUGACGCUGAGAAGCGAAAGCAUGGGGAGCGAACAGG
rnacentral:rRNA from 1 species